rnacentral:hammerhead_ribozyme from 1 species
GUCCAGCUGACGAGUCAAAAACAAGACGAAACGCGCGUCCUGAAU